AUGCAGUCGCACGGACCUUUCGGGGUGAGUGGCGGACGGGUGAGUAACGCGUAGGGAUCUAUCCAUGGGUGGGGGAUAACACCGGGAAACUGGUGCUAAUACCGCAUGAUACCUGAGGGUCAAAGGCGCAAGUCGCCUGUGGAGGAGCCUGCGUUCGAUUAGCUUGUUGGUGGGGUAAAGGCCUACCAAGGCGAUGAUCGAUAGCUGGUCUGAGAGGAUGAUCAGCCACACUGGGACUGAGACACGGCCCAGACUCCUACGGGAGGCAGCAGUGGGGAAUAUUGGACAAUGGGCGAAAGCCUGAUCCAGCAAUGCCGCGUGUGUGAAGAAGGUCUUCGGAUUGUAAAGCACUUUCGACGGGGACGAUGAUGACGGUACCCGUAGAAGAAGCCCCGGCUAACUUCGUGCCAGCAGCCGCGGUAAUACGAAGGGGGCUAGCGUUGCUCGGAAUGACUGGGCGUAAAGGGCGCGUAGGCGGUUCAUACAGUCAGAUGUGAAAUUCCAGGGCUUAACCUUGGGGCUGCAUUUGAUACGUAUGGACUAGAGUGUGAGAGAGGGUUGUGGAAUUCCCAGUGUAGAGGUGAAAUUCGUAGAUAUUGGGAAGAACACCGGUGGCGAAGGCGGCAACCUGGCUCAUUACUGACGCUGAGGCGCGAAAGCGUGGGGAGCAAACAGGAUUAGAUACCCUG
rnacentral:rRNA from 1 species